rnacentral:misc_RNA from 1 species
UAACAUUUGGCGACUGAUGCGUGGUGAAGUGAAGCUGAAUUUGUACACACUUGAGGCCGUGGCUGAAGCAGUGCUGAGACGUAAAUUUCCAUAUAUUCCUAACAAGGUAUUGACAAAUUGGUUUUCAAGCGGUCCUGAACGUGCAAGAUACAGAUGUAUAGAAUACUUUUUAGAGAGGACAAAGCUGAACCUUCAAAUCAUGAAUCAACUUGAUGUGGUAAAUCGAACAUCAGAG